rnacentral:rRNA from 1 species
GGGGGUUCCGGCCCGGGGGCUGCGGCCGCCGGGUCUGAAAGUUAGCUACCGGUUGAUUCUGCCGGAU